rnacentral:rRNA from 1 species
GCGGACGGGUUAGUAACGCGUGGGAAUAUACCCAGAUCUAAGGAAUAGCCACUGGAAACGGUGAGUAAUACCUUAUACGCCCUUCGGGGGAAAGAUUUAUCGGAUUUGGAUUAGCCCGCGUUAGAUUAGAUAGUUGGUGGGGUAAUGGCCUACCAAGUCUACGAUCUAUAGCUGGUUUUAGAGGAUGAUCAGCAACACUGGGACUGAGACACGGCCCAGACUCCUACGGGAGGCAGCAGUGGGGAAUCUUGGACAAUGGGCGCAAGCCUGAUCCAGCCAUGCCGCGUGAGUGAUGAAGGCCUUAGGGUCGUAAAGCUCUUUCGCCAGGGAUGAUAAUGACAGUACCUGGUAAAGAAACCCCGGCUAACUCCGUGCCAGCAGCCGCGGUAAUACGGAGGGGGUUAGCGUUGUUCGGAAUUACUGGGCGUAAAGCGUACGUAGGCGGGUUGUUAAGUUAGAGGUGAAAUCCCAGGGCUCAACCCUGGAACUGCCUUUAAUACUGGCAACCUAGAGUUCGAGAGAGGUGAGUGGAAUUCCGAGUGUAGAGGUGAAAUUCGUAGAUAUUCGGAGGAACACCAGUGGCGAAGGCGGCUCACUGGCU